GCAGUUCGGUGAUCGGGGGGGCUCGGCGGGUUGGCAGCCAUGGCAGAGCCGCGGUGUGAGGGGCAGCCGGGCUGUGGCACAAGGAGCACGGACUCAUCCCCUGGCCUGUCGGGCACGUCUCCGCCAGCUGGGGCAGCUCCCCCUGCAGCUCCCCCCACCAGGGCAGCGCCCCCUGGGCCAGGCACAAGCCCCCCUCCCAGGGCAGCUCCCCCCGUGACGCCCCCUGUCCUGGCAUCAGCACCUGUACAAGGCAAAAGCUCCCCUGCCAGGGUAGCUCCCUCUACUCCAUCAGAAACAAUGCCCCCCAUGCCAGCUGAGGAAACGCCUAUGCUACCGCUGGAUGAUGUGCGAUACCAGAUCGCUUGCACCAACUGGUACUAGAGCUGUCCAGCUCCACAGCUUCUGGAAGGCAAGUCCCAGACCCCGCUGCACCAGGCACCCAGUGAUGCAGAUGGACUCUAUGACAUCGUCCUCAGCAGCUCCAGGAGCACCUGUGUUACUGCCCUCCUUGAAGAUGACAUCCUGCGUACUGCUGCAUGUGAUGCUUUGAAUAAAGAGCCAGGGUCAAAGCUG